rnacentral:rRNA from 1 species
UACGUAGGUGGCGAGCGUUAUCCGGAAUUACUGGGCGUAAAGAGCGCGCAGGUGGUUGAUUAAGUCUGAUGUGAAAGCCCACGGCUUAACCGUGGAGGGUCAUUGGAAACUGGUCGACUUGAGUGCAGAAGAGGGAAGUGGAAUUCCAUGUGUAGCGGUGAAAUGCGUAGAGAUAUGGAGGAACACCAGUGGCGAAGGCGGCUUCCUGGUCUGUAACUGACACUGAGGCGCGAAAGCGUGGGGAGCAAACAGGAUUAGAUA